CAUGUUUCACUGAGGUUGUAAUUAUCUACCGCCCAUGAGAAAUCGAGUGUUUACAUCUCUCUUAGAUUAAAUGAAAUGCCGAUAUAUCAUAUCUAUUACCAGAAAUUUAUUUUCUGGCUUUGUCCAAUACGAAUAUUAACCAAAAGAACAAAUAAUAAGUACAAACAAAUUCAUAUACAUACAUGUCUAGGCCUAGAAAAGGAUAAACUUUCUGCACUUCUGGCCAAAACUCAGCCUUCAUUGCGUAAGCAACGUCAGCACCAUGUUCAUCAGACUGGAUUUGCAGCUAGAGUCGUACUGUGUCUAUUCAAGUGCACAAUUGGUGAAGCCCUGACAAUCGUUCUAGCUACUUCCAAAAAACUGUGACCAAAAUAGAGCAAAAAGAAGUUGUAAUAUAACUUAACAUAAACAUGACUUCAAUCGAUUAAGAAGUUUCAAACCUACACUUACGUGUAAGCGCAU
rnacentral:lncRNA from 1 species